UUUAGGGUUUUGCCUCGUCUCACAACUUGCGCCGCCAUCGUAGUCUACCUCAUCCCGAGAGCCGGCGUCCAACGGCGAACGGGAGAGCAGGUCUCCGAAACCAGUCGCCUUUGCGAUCCUGUAUGGGAGAGGGCGAAUUAGGUUUUUGGGAAGCGCUUUGCCCGACUGCUCGCUGCUUCCACAACGGGUCGUCUACCUAGCAAGUCGGGCGGUGUUGCGUACCGCCGCCUCAAGCGUCGUCUACUUCGUCCCGUCAUCGCCAACGUCAUCGUCAAUAACGUAGCUGCACCGAACACAUCUGCUUC
rnacentral:lncRNA from 1 species